CCUACGGGAGGCAGCAGUGGGGAAUAUUGCACAAUGGGGGAAACCCUGAUCCAGCGACGCCGCGUGAGUGAAGAAGUAUUUCGGUACGUAAAGCCCUAUCAGCAGGGAAGAAAAUGACGGUACCUGACUAAGAAGCCCCGGCUAACUACGUGCCAGCAGCCGCGGUAAUACGUAGGGUGCAAGCGUUAGCCGGAUUUACUGGGCGUAAAGAGUGCGUAGACGGGAGCGUAAGUCUGGAGUGAAAUGCCGGGGCCUAACUCCGGAACUGCACUUGAAACUGUGACGCUGGAGUGUAGGAGAGGUAAGUGGAAUUCUUGGUGUAGGGGUGAAAUGCGUAGAGAUCAAGAGGAAUACUCGCGGCGAAGGCGACUUACUGGACCGUAACUGACGUUGAGGCUCGAAGGCGUGGGGAGCAAACAGGAUUAGAUACCCUUGUAGUC
rnacentral:rRNA from 1 species